AGUCACUGACAUUAGAUACCCGGGUAGUCCCAGCCCUAACGAUGCGCGUUAGGUGUAUCGGUGACCACGAGUCACCGAGGUGCCGAAGGGAAACCGUGAAACGUGCCGCCUGGGAAGUACGGUCGCAAGGCUGAAACUUAAAGGAAUUGGCGGGGAGCACCACAAGAGGUGGAGGCUGCGGUUCAAUUGGACUCAACGCCGGAAAACUCAUCGGGAGCGACAGCAGUAUGAUUGCCAGGUUGAUGACCUUGCUUGACAAGCUG
rnacentral:rRNA from 1 species